rnacentral:rRNA from 1 species
GAUGAACGCUGGCGGCGUGCCUAAUACAUGCAAGUCGAGCGAACAGACGAGGAGCUUGCUCCUCUGACGUUAGCGGCGGACGGGUGAGUAACACGUGGAUAACCUACCUAUAAGACUGGGAUAACUUCGGGAAACCGGAGCUAAUACCGGAUAAUAUAUUGAACCGCAGGGUGCAAUAGUGAAAGACGGUUUUGCUGUCACUUAUAGAUGGAUCCGCGCCGCAUUAGCUAGUUGGUAAGGUAACGGCUUACCAAGGCAACGAUGCGUAGCCGACCUGAGAGGGUGAUCGGCCACACUGGAACGGGGACACGGUCCAGACUCCUACGGGAGGCAGCAGUAGGGAAUCUUCCGCAAUGGGCGAAAGCCUGACGGAGCAACGCCGCGUGAGUGAUGAAGGUCUUCGGAGCGUAAAACUCUGUUAUUAGGGAAGAACAAAUGUGUAAGUAACUAUGCACGUCUUGACGGUACCUAAUCAGAAAGCCACGGCUAACUACGUG